ACUGGAAAAGGAAUUGCUUGCCCUAAAAAUAGAGUCUAGUAAAAGGAAGCCAAUAUCAAUCCACGAUAUUAAAUACAACGAAGAGAAGGUCUCUGAUCAGCAGGGGCAUUUUCUCUAUAUAAGAAGAAAAUGGAGACUCCCUACCCACCCGAUGUAUUUUGUCGGACAGUUUUCUGUACAUUGCAGUCACCAAUAUAUCCAAAUAUCAUCACCGGCCCAGACGUCAUUCACUCCUUUGAAUUGUGCUGGUAGCAGUAAGGUGUCAUCAUUUGAGAUGGUCACAGUAUCCAAUACACUGAAGUCACAGGACUCAAAUUUCAUACAUGUUCACAGAUGCUGUCUGAUGGCGUAGUGUAGAAUGUAGCGUAGAAUGUUUUCCAAGUCAGCUUAAAUGCAAAGGGUCUCUGCCAAAAUCUUUUGAGGAUUUUUCCUCUGCUAGAGCAUCCAUGGAUGCAAUUGAAACAAUCCAGGACAUCCCAACACAUAUGGAUAAUCAGGCAAUGGCCUACAGUAUGUACAAAAGUUGCCAUACUUUUAAAGCAGUAACUUGCGUGCCUCCAAAUGGUGCACUUACAUUUUGCUCCAUGCUGUACCCAGGUUCUACUUCUGAUGUAGCUAUUGUACGUCACAGCCAAGUUUUACGAAAGUUCAAAGCUGGAGACCUUAUUUUGGUGGUCAAAGGUUUCACCAUUCAUGACCAGUUGCCCCAGGGUGUCUGCUUAAUUAUAAAAGCUCUUUUAUCGACACGAGGCCAGUUUACCAUACAAGAAGCAGCACUGUGUUACAAAAUUGCUAAAGCACUUAUUCAUGUGGAAAGAGCCAACGAGAGGAUAAAGAAUUACGAGAUUCUCCGUCACAUACCAUCUACUUACAGACCAAUCUCAACAAAAAUAUUUCAACUCUGUUCUUGUCUUGUAAACUUGCAAGCUCCACUUUUGAAAGAAAUUACUUAAAGAUACAUGUACUUAUUAUAAAUUUGCAUUGGCGUGUGACAGUAUACACUAAACAGUGAAGAUAUUCAUACCAAAGUGCAAGGGAUAAGCAAAUUUUGAUUUGUUAUCAAUGUCAAUGGUUAUAUAUGUUAACUUUGUAGUAUGUUGUAAUACAUAUACUUCAGAAAAUGAAAAUCCCUUUUGUUAGCAUGGAUUUAUUACAAGAAUGUUUGGCAAUUCCAUUCUUCAUUUGACAAUAUAAUUUGGAAGAGGGUUUACUUAUAAUUUUAAAUCUCUAGUUUAAAGUAUAUUUACCUUUAAAGCACAACUCAACAAAUUCAUGUUUUCAACAAUUUAUCUAUUAAGAAAGACCAAAAUGUUACAUUUUCACUUUGAGAAUAACAUCUUCAAUUCAUUAAUAAAAUGAUUCUAAAUUUU